UUCCUCAAAAAAAUGGACCUAAUGCAAAGCCAGGGCUGGGACCCACACCUGGACCUGCCUGCUUCCCAAGCCACAUGUGAUGGAAGGUGCCCCCCAAACUGGGGACACCCCACGAUUGAUGGAGAAUCUCUGUGAAUCCCUGCUGUGUACAAACCAACUGGUCUAUGGUUUUUGGUUAUAACAGCCCUGAUGGACUAAGAAAGGCUCAGUGCCACCCAGACUGCUUGUAUCGGUCCAUUUUCAUACUUGGAUGGCUGAGAUAAUAGAAAAACAUGUCUCUCUCGGGGCCUGACCACAGAAACUGUGCAAAACAUAUGCACAAUUUUCUUCCACGUUUAUUCUCUUUCCUCUAACAUAUUUGGAUGCACUCCAAAGUUUGAGUAUUCUUUCAGAAUCUAUGUGUCCUGAAGACUGGGGAUCCCUGUCUUUAAUUGUUGAGAGAAUAUGAAAACUCCUGUGUCUGAAAAACACCCUCAAAUCCUUGUCUGCUGGGUGGAGUUGAAGAGUGACUGUGAACCCAACCAUUGUUCUGUCCUCUCUUCAUUUCUCCCAGAUUAAUGAAUUUCCUUACAGUUUCGAUUACAUUUAAUGGAUUCCCU
rnacentral:lncRNA from 1 species